AUUGAACGCUGGCGGCAUGCCUUACACAUGCAAGUCGAACGGUAACGCGGGGCAACCUGGCGACGAGUGGCGAACGGGUGAGUAAUAUAUCGGAACGUGCCCAGUAGUGGGGGAUAGCCCGGCGAAAGCCGGAUUAAUACCGCAUGAGACCUGAGGGUGAAAGCGGGGGAUCGCAAGACCUCGCGCUAUUGGAGCGGCCGAUAACAGAUUAGCUAGUUGGUGGGGUAAAGGCCUACCAAGGCAACGAUCUGUAGUUGGUCUGAGAGGACGACCAGCCACACUGGGACUGAGACACGGCCCAGACUCCUACGGGAGGCAGCAGUGGGGAAUUUUGGACAAUGGGCGCAAGCCUGAUCCAGCAAUGCCGCGUGCAGGAAGAAGGCCUUCGGGUUGUAAACUGCUUUUGUCAGGGAAGAAAUCUUCUGGGUUAAUACCUCGGGAGGAUGACGGUACCUGAAGAAUAAGCACCGGCUAACUACGUGCCAGCAGCCGCCGUAAGAC
rnacentral:rRNA from 1 species